rnacentral:rRNA from 1 species
GACGAACCGUGCGAACGUUGUUCGGAAUCACUGGGCUUAAAGGGCGCGUAGGCGGGCUGCCAAGUCAGGGGUGAAAUCGUUCGGCCCAACCGGACAAGGGCCCCUGAUACUGGCGGUCUCGAGGGAGGUAGGGGUCGAUGGAACUUCCGGUGGAGCAGUGAAAUGCGUAGAUAUCGGAAGGAACGCCGGUGGCGAAAGCGAUCGACUGGACCUCUUCUGACGCUGAGGCGCGAAAGCCAGGGGAGCAAACGGG